AGCUCUUCGUCUUCCUCCAGAAGACUCGGAGAGUUCACCGGCGGAGAGCUAAAGGGAGGGGAGAGCCGAGCUCCGGCCGACGCUCGACUGGCGGGGGAGAAAGGUCUAUAUUAGGAGAGCAUGGCGGAGACGAGCAGAAGUGAUGAUAUUGACUUCAAGUGGGGUAGAAAGAAAGGGGUUAGCGGAAAGAAAAGAGGGGUUCAGUUCUACGAUUCCUUUUAUUUAGAUGGCGUGGAGUACAAUCUCUACGAUUGCGUCUACCUGUUUAAGGAAAGCGAGCCUGAGCCCUACAUCGGGAAGCUCGUAAGAAUAUGGGAAGCUCCAGACAAGUCGAGGAGGGCGAAGAUUCUCUGGUUUUUCCGGCCUUGUGAGAUCGUCAAUCACCUAGGAACCGAAGAGCUGCGCGAGAAUGAGUUAGUUUUGGCAUCUGGUGAAGGUGUAGGUCUUGCAAAUGUUAAUCCUCUGGAAGCAAUUGCUGGGAAAUGCCACGUCAUCUGCACUUCAAAGGACAAAAGGAAUCUGCAACCUUCAGAUGAAGAGCUUCAAAUGGCUGACUUUGUGUUUUUUCGUACAUUUGAUGUCGCGCAAUGCAAAAUAAUGAACGAGAUAGAUGAGCAAAUUGCUGGCAUUGAAGUUAAGUUCAUCUUUAAUAGAAACGGAAGUCUCAAUCGCAAUGCUGUUGAAAAGGUUGUCUCUCUUGACAAAGAGGACGAAGACCUUGGCAAAACCGCGUUGCCAAGUGAGGGAUUGCCCUCUGGGUCAGGCACUCUUGAAGGAAAGAAGGUUGUUAAAGAAGAGGAAGCAUCUCUGAACGCCAAAACGAUUGGACAUGCAUGUGGAGAUCAUUUAUUGGUUAAAGUUAAGUCUCCACGUGACAAAACAACCCCGCCGUUUGAAGUUGAUCCCAAGCAUAUAAGUACACUUGAGAAUGGCAAUGACUAUAUGGUUAAACCCAAACCAAUAGUUAAUCCGUCAGUGCAAUCUGACGAUCUCAAUAGGCCGUUGAAGAAACGAAAAUUGGAUGUUUCAAAUAUAUCGUCGAGCGAUAAGCGCAAGAAUGAUGGAGGCAAGUCAACCGAUGUAUUUGCUGUCGGGCAUCAAACCUCAAUACAAAGUGGAAGUGCAUCUAAGAAUGAAAUGAAAAAUAAAUAUCUCAAUGAAUCUCCAAGAGGAGAGAGAGGCCUCAUUUUGAAGCCAGAGCAGAAUUCGAUGGACCUCUUUACUGGGAAUUUGCAUGAAGUGUCCUCUCAUCAAUCUCCUCAAAAGGAUGACAAAAACAACCACAAAGCAUUGCAAGCUCCUCUGCCGGUUGAUGUUGACAAGAACACAUGGUUCAAGGAGCCUCCUUUUGAAGAAAGAAUGCAGACUGCAUGCAAGGAAGGAACACUUGUUCUGCUUCGAAAUUUGGAUCCAACUUAUGUCUCGACUGAAGUUGAGGAUAUAAUUUGGCAAGGCUUGGAGGAGAAAUGCUCAGCAAAGAUGCUUUCGCAGACUACAACUUCUAGCCCUCACUAUGGUCAAGCUUUUGUGAUAUUCAAAACAAAGGAAGCAGCAAAGAGAGCCAUCAAAGAAUUAGAUACUGGAUGCUUGGUGCUACCUGAUGGAAGACCUCUUGUCGGCUGUGUCGAGACUCCUUGCUCUCCUGGAAAGCAGUCAACAUUUUACGGCCAUCUAUCAAUUAGUAAUCCAAAGCAGUCACAGACUCGGGGGAUGAAAGAAGCUGUAUCUACUUCGCAUUGUUCACAGCCCAACACCAUAGUAUAUGAUAUGGCAAUGGAGUGGUGUUUGCUGCAACAAAGAUCAGAUUUUUUGUUGGACAAGUUAUAUAAGCAACAAGGGGUGGAAUUGAGAAAAAUCAAGGCCCAUUUGAAGUCCAAGUGAAGUAUAGCACCGAUCGGCACCUGAAUAGGCAAUUAGGGUUCAAACAAAGCAAAGGUUUACAUUCAGACUCUUGUGAACAUUUUCGCCUCAAAUGUUGCUUUACAGAGUAGAAGCAGAGGAGAUUUUUUGGGAUCAGCAUUUCUGCAUCUUCAAGAUUUAGGUGGAUUUUGGUAAGAGGCAAAUGUACAAACGUGUUUGGCCAUCUGAUUGCAGGGAUACUGGGGAAUUUGGCCAGAAACCAAUUAAUCUGGCAACACAAACCCGGUUCCGGGCUUUUGAAUACCAAACCUUUCGCUUCUUUCUCCUAUGUUUUCGAUUACGUAGAUGUGUAUAUGUUUAUAGUCUACUCUUCCCGCCUCUUCUUUUAGUGCCGGUUGUUUAACUGUUCUUCUCCACCCGAGUCAUUUUCAUGAGAGUGAUUCUUGGAAUCCCUCAGAACCAUUCCUUGAAGGAUUGGCGGCAGUUGAGGCUACAACAGAAAUAGAUAUCACCGGAGUUCCGGAGUUACUACA